rnacentral:ncRNA from 1 species
GAACACUUCGCUCUGAUGUAAAGUUGGCUAUCACUUGCAAACUUCAUAUGGUAAUUUACAUACAUUGCGAAAAUGAUUUAGUUGAACUAACCCUUCACGACUUAUAUUUCACCUCAGAGGUGAAAUAUUUGACCUAAAUCUAUGGUAACUAGACCAAAAGACAUAGUUAGCAACACCAAUGAAUUAUUUUGCAUACUAAAUGCUAGGAAACUAGGCUGCAGACAAAGUGAAUUAGAAAUGACCAAUGUGAGUGCCAGCAGCCGCGGUUAAACUCCAACUUCAAGUUAACUUCCUCCAUCACAAAAAUACACUCUACACAACACACACCAUAAAACGAUUUCAAGCAAACUUGUCUAGAUAAAAUUUUCUUCUCUUAUAUGCCCAAAUUAAUCAUUACAUGAUGUAUUAACAAACCACAGCAAAAAACAUGGAUUAGAUACCCAUUUAUUAAGUGGCUCAACCCUGCAAAUACUAAAAACGAAAGUUUCAAACUUAAAGAGCGUGGCGGUGUUCUACACCACAUUAGGGGAUCCUGUGGCUUAAUUCGAUAAUCCACGAACACCAAAGCUUUGUUAGUCAAAUAACAGCUCACGUAUGGCCGUAUUAAGUCUGCACAUUAAUGGGACAAAAGGAGGCACUCUAAGACAAAUAGUCUUCAUAAUACAGGUGACAUAUAGCCAAUACAAAGCAGCUCAUGGGAUACAAUUAAACAAUAUUAACCUAAGAAAUUACUAAACCUUUUCUUAAGGGAGGACUUAAAAGUAAGGCUGUAACAUAAUUGCAGCCUGAACAAGAGAUAGAAUGCGUACAAAUCGCCCGUCACUCCCGGCGAUCUAAGUCGGGAUAAGUCGUAACACAGUAGGGGUAGUGGAAGCUGCCCCUAUCCA